rnacentral:rRNA from 1 species
UCUUGCGCAUGGGCGAAAGCCUGNGCAGCAACGCCGCGUGAGGGACGAAGGCUUUCUGAGUUGUAAACCUCUUUCAGCAGGAACGAUAGUGACGGUACCUGCAGAAGAAGCACCGGCCAACUACGUGCCAGCAGCCGCGGUGAUACGUAGGGUGCAAGCGUUGUCCGGAUUUAUUGGGCGUAAAGAGCUCGUAGGCGGCUUGAUAAGUCGGAUGUGAAACCCCCAGGCUUAACCUGGGGCCGCCAUUCGAUACUGUCAUGGCUUGAGUCCGGUAGGGGACCAUGGAAUUCCUGGUGUAGCGGUGAAAUGCGCAGAUAUCAGGAGGAACACCAGUGGCGAAGGCGGUGGUCUGGGCCGGUACUGACGCUGAGGAGCGAAAGCGUGGGGAGCGAACAGGAUUAGAUACCCUGGUAGUCCACGCCGUAAACGUUGGGCACUAGGUGUGGGGCCUAUUCAACGGGUUCCGUGCCGCAGCUAACGCAUUAAGUGCCCCGCCUGGGGAGUACGGCCGCAAGGCUAAAACUCAAAGAAAUUGACGGA